GCGGGUAUCGUAUAGCGGCUAUUAUGUUUGCUUCCCAAGCAAGAGAUGAGGGUCCGACUCCCUCUACCCGCACCA
rnacentral:tRNA from 1 species